AAAAAAAAAAAAAAAAAAAAGAGCCAGGGAAAUAGUAAGUGCUCAAAUAGUGUUAGCGUUAGCAGGAAGAGCAGAAUAUUUGUGCUGCCGGGAAAAAUGAUGAUGCAUGAGAAGAGAUCUCUUCUUCAGGCUCUAAUGGUCCCAUGGGAAGUAAGUUCUGUUUUGAAAUAACACAGUGGAAUGGGGAUAGAGACUAAGGGAAUACGGGCUACAGCACAUUAUGAACCUAGUAUUAUGGACUGCAUAUUUGUUUUCUCCCAGAUUUGCAUGCUGAAGCCCUAACCCCCAGUGAGAUGGUAUUAGGAGGUAGUGCCUUUGGGCUGGAGUGGAUUAGGAAAGAGAAUCCUGUGUGAUUUCGGUGAUUUAAAAGUCAUCCCUUGAGUAAAAUUAUAUUUCUUGCAAACCUGAGUUCAUGGAGUAAGACUCACAAGUAUAGUUGACUUUACAUCAUUUAAUGGGACUGUUAUGAGGGGAGAGAUUCAAUCUGUUUUGUGAUGAUCCUAAGAGCACCGCCUGAAACCAAAGAUUGAAGGUUUGGGGUAGCAGAUUUGACUUCAUAUCCCACAUGGUUCCUAACCAUUCAGGCUUUCCCACAGUAAAGUGCCGAUUUCUACUGCCAGGUACUGAUUUCUCACCAUUGGAAUCAUCGAUGAUCCUGUGAUCAUGGUAUCUCCCCUGCCAGGAAAUGAAUCCCGCUUGGGCUUCAAGGGCUGCAAGGACUGGGCCCUGCGGAUCAGAGAGAGGCAAGUGAAUGGGAGGCGGACUGCAGAGAGGAGUAAGAGGACUUGGAGGUUUGCCUAUUUGACCAUAAUGUGAAUCAGUCAAACCUUUAUGUGAGAUGGCAGGAUUUCCAUUAUGAAGCCGGACCUGUUAGAGCCAGUUGUGCCAGAAGCCAUACCAGAAUGGGUAUGUCAAGUCCAAGUUCGGUAACUUGGAGAACUGCCUAAAGGGAACGGUCUUUGAUAGUUCAUUUUUUCUACUUUGAAUAUAACUUGGGCUAAAGAGUCUUCAUUUGAAGCAUUUAUUUAACUAAUUAUUUUCAAAU
rnacentral:lncRNA from 1 species